AGGUCAAGAAUGUUCCUGUCUGCAUCAGCUAUCCAUCUGAAAAAGAAAAGCUGGCACUCGCAAAGGAGAUUGUGUUGUUGGAUUAUGGUCUAAUUUGGUCAAAAUGAGGGAAAUGUACUGAGCAUUUUUCUUUUUUUUUUCUUUUUUUGAUGGGCCAUCACACAGUGGAUUUAUAAAAAUGAGACUACAGAACAUCAGACGGAAGCUUCAAUGGAGUUGAAGUGUGAGGACAUCAUCAAUAAAGAAUGCCAUUGGCCAAACCUUCAGUCAUCAAAGAAGAUGGAUACAGGUGGACAUCGAGUUUUCCAGACUUACCGAUAGGAAAGAAGACAAGUUUAUCAGGAAAUGGGAGGUGACAAUUAUUGAGAAACUCAGGGAAAUAGCAUCUUUAGAGAAGAAAAUGGACAUCAGACAUUCAUUGAAGAAAGCUGACAGUCAACAUAAUGAUGAGCUGUGUUAUACAAUGUUAAGUAUUCUCAUUCAUCUUCUGCUGUGUGAAUUCUGCUGUCUCAGACCUGUGGGACUUGGUGC